UCCAUGGUACCAUUUUUAAAAAUCUCUUCUAUCCCUGUUUAUGAACAUUACCGAUUUACCGUGACUUUUAUUAGUAAUUUACUUUAAAGUUUAUGCGUUGAACAACGUUUUUUAAAAAUACUCGGAAACUUCGGGGACUUCUUUGCUAGAGAGCGGAGAGAAUCUCGAUCCCGAUUUCAAAUCGGAAACAAAGAUGGAGGACUGGAGCGUGGUGGAGGUGUGCUCGUCAGCCUCGUGGUUGAGAGCAAAUGCUCUACAUGCAUACGUAGACACAUUCAAAGAAGACUUCUGAAUUUUGCAAAAGAAGAGGCUGUCAAUCGACUUCAAAAAGUGCCAUACUCAAUAGACACUAUAGAUGGCCAUGUUCCACCAAAACCCUGUGAUUGGGUAUUCCCGGAAGAGUAUGAAGAUAAAUUCAAAAAAACUUUAAAGGUUGAUGAUGACCUAUAUAGGAAAGAAAACAACUUUCUAUUAAAACCAUAUGGUCCAAUCUGGGAAAAACUUGUUGACAUGUACCAAUUACAGCAAGAUGCUUCUAAAUCAGCAUACCACAUACACAGAUACUGUUCUGAAUUCUCUUUUCUGACACAUUAUAGCUUUGCUACAUAUCGUCCUGAUGAUAACUAGAGGAAUGGUCCUGUUCUUCGUCAUGAAAUUCAACCAAUAAUUGAUAUAUCUCGUUUGCCGGACUUUCAUUACUUACCAUAUGAAGAAGCAGUUCAACUUGUUGAAACAAUGAAGGAGACAGAGGGCUUUUUGCCAGAAUUUGUUUAGAUACCUGACUUUUUUCUGCCAUCAAGGAACAUAAAAUACAUCCUUGAGAAUAGCCCAGAGGAGCUACAAUCAGAUAUACAACCCAUCUCACAAUUAAUUGGUGUCUCUGAGGAGGAAAUAUAUGCAUAUGUUAAAAAACUUGAGGACAAAAAGAAAGCAAAAGAAGACCGGGAGAGGGUGAUGCAACAAUUUAAAGAUUCGCCUCUUUUAAAAUUGACUGUGAAAGAAAUGAAACAAUUGCUCACUGAUCAUUUUAAAUAUAGGUGUCAUUCCUCAUUAAAACUCAAGGCGGACUUUUUAGUAUUGUUACAAGAACUCUUUACCAAAAACAAAAUGGAUGAUUCAAGAAUCCAUAAAAUUGUGAAAGACUUUAAAGAUAAAAGUUAAUGACCUAAAGCUAUGGCAUAAUGUCAUCUUUUAUAAAAGUGCAAACUAUAUUUAAUGCUUACAUUAACUGAUUAUUUUGUUUUAAUCUUGAUAUAUAGUAUUUAUGUGUAAAACAUUUAAAAGACAUCUUCUUUAAUGCUAUUGAUACUAAAUUGAAGCCAAAUGGAUAUUUAGAAUGAGCAGGUAGCCCUUUACCAAAAUUGUAAAUUUGAUGAUCCCAGGGGUGGGGGUUUUGGUAUUAGGGUGGGGCCAAAAUGGUCAGUGAUUAAAUCUGUUAACAAUUGAACAUUUUUAACUUCUUCUUGAUAACUACACCAUUACAAUUCUUUUGAAAUUUGGUAUGAAGCAUCUUUGGGACAAGGCUGACAUAAAUUGUAAAUUUCAGGACUCCUGCACCCUUGGGGGCCUUAGAGGUGGGGCAAAAACUGUAAAAAUUGACCAAUUUUCAAAAAUCUUCUUCUCUAGAACCCCACAUGUAUAAGAAAAACUAAAUGCAUAGUGAUGUAGAGCAGGAAGGUCCUCUACCAAAAUUGUAAAUUUUAUGAUCCUCAGGGUAGAGGUUCUGACUCCAGGGUGGGGCCAAACUUGGUAUAUAUAGUGUAUAUGUUAAAUAAUAUCUUCUUUAAUGCUGUUGAUACUAAAAUGAAACUAAAUAGAUAUUUUGAAGGAGUAAGUAGUCCUUUACCAAAAUUGUAAAUUUCAUGAUCCUUGUGGGUAAGGGUUUGGUUCCAGGAUGGAGCCAAAAUUAUUAUAGUGAUUAUUGUCUUUAUCAUUUGAAAGACUUCUUGAAGUUUGCUGAUAUGGUAUAAAAACUAAAUGCAUAUGUAGGAAAAGCAGAAAAGGAUGUACCAAAAUUGUGAAUUUUGCAACCCCAGGGUUUUGACUCUAGGGCAGGUCAAAAUUAGUCAUUUUGCGUUGAUGUUACAUAUAUUAUGUAAUGCCUUUCAUCAGCAUAGGUUCUUUUGAGAGCAUAUAAGUUUAAAGAACACAUCUUGUUUUAUACAUGUACUUUUGCUGAAUAUUAGAAUUUAGCUUAGAUGUUCAGAACAGGAAAUUUUUAGCAGCCCUUGGGACUAGUGAUACUUUUAACUAAUACUCAGGUGACCGAUAAGGCCUGUAGGCCUCUUGUUUAGAACAAAGAUGGAUACUGUCCAGAGAGUGGCAACAAUAAAGACUAAACAUUUAGAAGUGUUGUUUUUUCUUUCUGAGUAGAAUAUUUGUUAACUAGCAAAGCAACAGAAAGGCUGUUUACUUGUAAAUAAAGCAAUGGAAAGGCAUUUGACAAUGAUCUUUAAAAUACAUUUAUUGUAUUAACUUGUGCACAUACACAGUGGCAUAUAUAGCAAUGGAAAACAGGGUACUGAAAUGCUUUUUGCAAGUUUUUCGUGAAUUAUGGUAGUUAUACACCCACUGCAUAAUCUGCAUUGGUGAAAAUGCAGUCUGGUGACAUUUUAUUGUGUUUAGAUAAAGAAAAAUAUCAGGAAACAAAAAGACAUGACUGCCUAGCAAGUUCUACAACUAAGCUUCAUUCAAAAAAUAUAUAAUUCAUUGUUAAUAUUUCAUCCUAAAUUUUAAAUCACUUCUAUCCCAGGUCCAAACUUUGAAGAAGAAAAAAUAUAUACAUGGUACCAUUUUCGAGAAAACGCUUCUAUGGGUGGUACCCCCUAAAAUAUCCUGGAGUCCUGGGGUAGGGUAGAUUUUUUACUGGAAUAGCCCUAAGUUUUUUUAUAUAAUUUAAAGUUCUUCUGCAAGAUGCAAAAUUAUGUGUAAUACAGAUUGGCUUUUUUUUUUCAGAAAUCUUCGACAUACAUGUAGGUAGAGGAUGCCGACAAGGUGAUCCAAUCUCUCCAUAUCGUUUUCUCAUUUGUGCUGAAAUAAUGGGUAUUAUUAAAGGAACAAUCUUUUAAUCAAGGGCAUUACUACAGUGAGUAAGGAAUUCAAACUGUUUCAAUAUGCUGAUGACACAAUAUUGCAAUUAGAUGGUUCCGAAAAUUCUGUAAAAUCUGCUCUCUCCGUUGUUGAUCAAUUUUCCAAGUUUUCUGGACUAAAGCCAAACUUUGAAGAAAAAAAAUGUGUUAAAAUUGGUUCAUUGUGGCAAUCAAAACUGUCAAUUAUCAAAUAAAUUCAGAAAUCUAAAUUGGUCCCAAAAACCCUUUACUGUUUUGGGGAUAACAUAUCAUGUAGACUAAGAAAGCAAUUCUAUGGUUGAACUAAACUUCACUCCUAAAAUUAAUGAAAUUAAAGCACUUGUGUGCUCAUGGUCACACAGAAUUAUAUCAACUGCAGGGCGGAUUACUGUAAUUAAAUAAUUCAUUUUUCCAAAAAUUACACACCUGUUGAUUAGUUUAACAACUCCCCCAGAAGAAAAGUUAAAAGAAAUCGAAAGUAUUUUUAUCAAUAUGUUUGGAAUUCAAAAACUCCCAAGAGUUGCCAAGGGUAAUUUUAUUCAAAGCUAUGGAAAUGGAGGCUUUCAAAAGAUAUGCCUUGAAACUUUCUCUAAAAGCUUGAAGAUUACAUGGGUGUGCCGUUUCUAUGACAAUGCACGUAUAUCUGGCUAGAAAUCCUUUAUCUAUAACUGAUACUUUACCUACAGUUUUGCAAGUAACACAAUUUCCAUAUGCAUUUUUGCAGAAACUAUUGAAAUCCUGUAAAAAUAGUUUUUGGCUUGGAGUUUUUUCAGCCUUUUUAGAAUUGAGAAAGUGCAUUGAAAAUCAAUGUAGCAUUGUGAGUCCUGUAUGGCUUAAUGAAUCAAUAUGUAUUAAUAAUAAAAAUGUCUUCUAUAAACAGUGGUUAGAAAAGGUGUAUGUUAAAUAUCAGAUUUUUACAAUGACAAUGGUGAAAUAAUGUUUUAUGAAGAGUUCUGUAAUCAAAACAAUAUUCAACCACGAUUUACAUUGUAUUAUGAAAUCAUAAAUAGAAUUUUGAAAAAAAUUAGAUUUGGAUACAAUUUAGAAAUUCAUUUCAAAAUUAAGGAUUAUAUCUCCCUCAUGCAUAGCUCUGAUCCAUUGACGAAUUUGGCUCAGGUUUUGGCACUCUAGUUUUCCUUUUAGCUCUUAAAAAUUUAUUUUUAUUUCGAAUUUCCAAAAUUUCGGCUUGAACAUUACUGAAGAAACAUUAUUUGUCGAAAUGCACAUCUGGUGCAUCAAAAUUGGUACCGUAUAAGUUUUAUAUUAUGACCCCUGGGUCGAGGCCUCUGCAGGUGGACUCUACAAUGGUCUCUACAGCCCAGUAGCUAAGUACUUCGUUACUAGCAUGAAAAUACGGAUGUAUAUUUAAUUGCUGGGAUAAAAUUUCGAAAUUCAUUUCAAAAUUAAGGAUUAUAUCUCCC